rnacentral:rRNA from 1 species
UACAGAGGGUGCGAGCGUUAAUCGGAAUUACUGGGCGUAAAGCGCGCGUAGGCGGCUUUGCAAGUCGGGUGUGUAAUCCCCAGGCUUAACCUGGGAACUGCAUUCGAGACUGCAUUGCUAGAGUAUGGGAGAGGGAAGUGGAAUUUCAGGUGUAGCGGUGAAAUGCGUAGAUAUCUGAAGGAACAUCAGUGGCGAAAGCGACUUCCUGGACCAAUACUGACGCUCAUGUGCGAAAGCGUGGGGAGCAAACAGG